rnacentral:rRNA from 1 species
UGUGUGNUGGUGACCGUGGGAAGGCUCACCUGUUUUAUCUAGGAGAAGAUCUGACGGUACUUGAUGAAUAAGCCACGGCUAAUUCCGUGCCAGCAGCCGCGGUAAUACGGGAGUGGCAAGCGUUAUCCGGAAUUAUUGGGCGUAAAGCGUCCGCAGGCGGCCCUUCAAGUCUGCUGUUAAAAAGUGGAGCUUAACUCCAUCAUGGCAGUGGAAACUGUUGGGCUUGAGUGUGGUAGGGGCAGAGGGAAUUCCCGGUGUAGCGGUGAAAUGCGUAGAUAUCGGGAAGAACACCAGUGGCGAAGGCGCUCUGCUGGGCCAUCACUGACGCUCAUGGACGAAAGCCAGGGGAGCGAAUGGGAUUAGAUACCCCCAGUAGUCANUU